GACGAACGCUGGCGGCGUGCUUAACACAUGCAAGUCGAACGGAAAGGCCUCUUUCGGGGGGUACUCGAGUGGCGAACGGGUGAGUAACACGUGAGUAACCUGCCCUUGACUUUGGGAUAACUUCAGGAAACUGGGGCUAAUACCGGAUAGGAGCACCUGCUGCAUGGUGGGGGUUGGAAAGUUUCGGCGGUUGGGGAUGGACUCGCGGCUUAUCAGCUUGUUGGUGGGGUAGUGGCUUACCAAGGCUUUGACGGGUAGCCGGCCUGAGAGGGUGACCGGCCACAUUGGGACUGAGAUACGGCCCAGACUCCUACGGGAGGCAGCAGUGGGGAAUAUUGCACAAUGGGUGGAAGCCUGAUGCAGCAACGCCGUGUGCGGGAUGACGGCCUUCGGGUUGUAAACCGCUUUCGCUCAUGACGAAGCUUUGUGUGACGGUAGUGGGUAAAGAAGCACCGGCUAACUACGUG
rnacentral:rRNA from 1 species